UAUGUGAUCGUCUCUCGCAUAUCAAUAAGCGGAGGAAAAGAAACUAACAAGGAUUCCCCUAGUAACGGCGAGUGAAGCGGGAAGAGCUCAAAUUUGAAAUCUUAAAGGGUUUCCCUUUACGAAUUGUAGUUUAAAGAAGUGUUUUCUGUUGAGGUUUUGGUAAAAGUUCUUUGGAAUAGGACAUCAUAGAGGGUGAGAAUCCCGUAUUUGACCUUUACUUUCAACUUUGUGAUACACUUUCAAAGAGUCGAAUUGUUUGGGAAUGCAGUCCAAAAUGGGUGGUAAAUUUCAUCUAAAGCUAAAUAUUGGCGAGAGACCGAUAGCGAACAAGUACCGUGAGGGAAAGAUGAAAAGAACUUUGAAAAGAGAGUUAAACAGUACGUGAAAUUGUCAAAAGGGAAGCGUUUGACACCAGUGUUGUUUUUCUGAAAAUCAAUUAAAGAACUGUUUAUGCUAAGUUGUUUAGACUUUAUCAGCUAACUGUUUAGUUUUGAGCUUUUCUUUAAUGCACUUUUCAGUUAACAAGUCAGCAUCAAUUUCUUUUGCUGUAAAAAAGCUUGAGGAAGGUGGCUUGAGAUUCGUCUUAAGUGUUUAUAGCCUCUUGCCUAUGCAGUCGGAGAGAUUGAGGUCUGCAGCGUAGAUCCUUCGGGGCUAAAUGCAUUUGUGCUAAGUUAUAGCAUUUUAUAGACAACUUGUUGACUAUGAUUUGUCUUGUAGCUUACUCGCUUAUGUUAUUUUACCUACGCUUAGGAUGUUGAGUAGCGACAUACGCAC
rnacentral:rRNA from 1 species